UUCCAACUAACUUUUUACGAA
ensembl:piRNA 21ur-2067 ncRNA